rnacentral:rRNA from 1 species
UGGGGAAUCUUGCACAAUGGGGGCAACCCUGAUGCAGCGACGCCGCGUGAGCGAUGAAGCCCUUCGGGGCGUAAAGCUCUUUCGACCGGAACGAUAAUGGCGGUACCGGGAGAAGAAGCUGCGGCUAACUACGUGCCAGCAGCCGCGGUAAUACGUAGGCAGCAAGCGUUGUUCGGAGUUACUGGGCGUAAAGAGUGCGUAGGCGGUUUUCUAAGUUCGGUGUGAAAUCUCCCGGCUUAACUGGGAGGGUGCGCCGAAGACUGGGAAGCUGGAGUGUGGGAAAGGCAGGCGGAAUUCCUGGUGUAGCGGUGAAAUGCGUAGAUAUCAGGAGGAACACCGGCGGUGUAGACGGCUUGCUAGACCAUAACUGACGCUGAGGCACGAAAGCGUGGG